AUUGAACGCUGGCGGCAUGCCUUACACAUGCAAGUCGAACGGCAGCACGGGAGCAAUCCUGGUGGCGAGUGGCGAACGGGUGAGUAAAGUAUCGGAACGUGCCCAGUCGUGGGGGAUAACGUAGCGAAAGUUACGCUAAUACCGCAUACGAUCUAUGGAUGAAAGCGGGGGAUCGCAAGACCUCGCGCGAUUGGAGCGGCCGAUAUCAGAUUAGGUAGUUGGGGGGGUAAAGGCUCACCAAGCCGACGAUCUGUAGCUGGUCUGAGAGGACGACCAGCUACACUGGGACUGAGACACGGCCCAGACUCCUACGGGAGGCAGCAGUGGGGAAUUUUGGACAAUGGGCGAAAGCCUGAUCCAGCCAUGCCGCGUGCAGGAUGAAGGCCUUCGGGUUGUAAGCUGCUUUUGUACGGAACGAAAAGGUUUGGGCUAAUAAGCUGAGCUCAUGACGGUACCGUAAGAAUAAGCACCGGCUAACUACGUGCCAGCAGCCGCCGUAA
rnacentral:rRNA from 1 species